rnacentral:misc_RNA from 1 species
GUAAACAUGAGCGAAGUGUUGUAUUCCUUCACAAAUAACCAGCUUUGUAGAGUUAUUUCUGGGAAAUUUGGUGUUGAAGGGGAGAGGAACAACAUCUUUCGGACACUGAUAGAGGAGAACUCUUCUCUGUUUGGAUCUUUCCAUGUUGAGGACUACAUCCCUUACCUGGCAUGGGUUGAUGUUUUUGUGGGAUUGAACGCGCGAGCUUGGAGGAAUUCUAAGAGAUGGGGUGAUGUUCUUGAUAGCAUCAUCCAGGAGCACACGAAUCGGC